rnacentral:snRNA from 2 species
AUCGCUUCUCGGCCUUUUGGCUAAGAUUAAGUGUAGUAUCUGUUCUUAUCAAAUAACAAGAUUUCCUUUAUUUUUAUAACAGAAUAAUACUCCACUAUGUUUAUGUGUAUAUUUUAUGUAUUCAUUCAUUCAUCUAUGGGGAGUUAUGCCUUGUACAC